CUAUUUGAUUGCAGUCUCAGAAACUAACCAAUGCUUAGUGUAAAUACUUUUGCAUUCAUGCACUCCUGAGAGCACCUGAUUACAUGUUACAUUCAGUACUCAAAAAGACUCAAGUAUGAGCAUAUUUACUAUUUAGUGAAAAAGUUCCGACACUCAAAUGAAGCAUCAAAUAAUUAUGAACACUUCGAAGUCAUUAAACACCAUGUGAAAAAAUUUGAAUAAUCAAAGAAAGAAGAUGCUUCAAGGACACAUACACCAGAAAAAAGUUCAAUGAAAAGAUGGAGAUGCAUGCACGCACAAAUUUCUAUGACAGCAUGACUUACUUGAUGUAAAAGACAAACUACAAGUAUCUGUUAGACAAAAGGAAACUUUUCUCAGAUGUUCAUUCUCUAACUUUUCUUUGUUUGAUAAGGUUUUUCCCCUGAGAAUGCACCUUCCCCAAACAAGUUAACAGCAUCUUUGACAGACUGAAAUGGUGCACUUGUAUCUAUUUCCCCAACUUGUACUUUUGGAGAUCCAGUAGGUUUCUUACGGUCUUUUGAAACCAUAUUUUGAUCUUUUACACAGAAUCACCUAUCAACAAAAAGCAAAGAAAAGUUUACUGGGAGUGGCCAAAAACACAGACGGAAUUUCAACAUUGUGGAUAAGAGUAGCACAGAAGCUUGAGAUACCAGUUUACAAGUGGUCAUCAUGCAAUACAAGCUAGGAACUCUAAACAUGUAAAAUAAUGUUACAAUUUGAGGUGAAAGUUGUGAGAUUCCCUUAUGCAGUUACGAGAGUAGAUAAGAAUUCAAUUACUGAAGCAUCGGAGCUUGAUGUGUUAGUUUUAUACUUAUUUGUAGUAAGAAUUAUAAUAAGAGUUUUUUGUCUCUCUUCAUAUAGUUGAAUUCUUGUUUUAUUAGCAAGUUGCUCUAAAUUCAUAUUUGUAUUUUGUAUGCUCAAAUGUUCAGUUUCACUAUAAAGACAAACAAAAUGAAAUGCCUAAUUAUCUUGCUCA